UGGUGCUCUAAAAAGUUAUUACUUUCCUGUCGAUAUUUUGUUGAAAAGAAUGUCUGAAGGACUAACACCACGGACAACCGGUAGAGAGGAGAUUGACAUCGAUCUGGAGGCCUCUGAAACUAAGGAAGCUUCCCUGGCCAUACAGAACAAGUUCAGACAUUUCCAAAGAAACAACAGUUCACUGGCUGAAGAAGAUGAGCAACCCUGGGAGACCGCCUGGUUGACGCGACUCUCAUGGUACAGAGCGAAGGAGAGCUAUGACACAUUGGCCUGGACAAGAGUCAGUUUGUUGGUGCAAUAUUUUCAGAAAUUCUGACAGACAAAGAUGUAGUAUAUUUAAUUCAACUGCUAUUAAUACUAGGUACAUUUCAUAUUCACAAAUGCAAAUGGUCUAAUUCAAAACCUAACUUUUUUCAUUUUAUAAAUGAGUUUAAACAAUAUGGCACUACUUUAACUAAAAUGGGGGAAAAAAUGAAAAAAUUCAGGGGGUUGAGAACUCUCGAUGUUUGGAUUUGAAAAAACAUCAGUUGUAUUGAAAGCGGGAGGAGCUCACAGGCUGUGUGUGCUUGUCCGUGUGGGUGUUUGAGUGAGAAAGACACAGAGGAGAACCAAUCAGUAAAAAAAAAGCACAGCCCCGUUCAUUAUCAACGCUUUGUGCCUACAACAUCAAGGAGCCUUUCCAGACUCUGAAGUCAGGAAGACUUCGAGUUUGGUGUCAGCCAGACUAUGGGAUACUGUGCUUGGCUCAAAAUCACUGCUCAUAUUUUCUGCCAUGUCAUAUCACGCCACUAGAGGCUGCUGCUGUCUAGACGUGGACAAUGCAUUUCAGUAGCAUGAGUUUACAUCAAUCACAGUGGAUAUCACAGAAGGACCAUGUAGCUGCUGAAAUGUUGUGUUUUUCUCCUCUACAACUAACACCAAUGAGGACACACAGUUGUUUGAAAUACACAAUGCUUACAAAAGCCAUAUUGUGUGAGUUUUAAAAGGACCUCCCCCACCCCCAAAAAAACCUCUCCUUUCCCUUUAUUUCUCUCAAAUGAAGCAAAUGAAGCGUAACAGGCCAUGGGUUAAGCAAACGGCCUUCAUUUUCUACAGUCAACCAGAUAUGCUUGGCAUCUCAGUCAACACUCGUCCUGUCCCCUUACAGUACACAUUCCCCAUCUCUACAUUCCGUUCCCCCUCAUAUCCCUCUCCACAAGAGCCGGAGGUGACUAAAUAGGAAUUAGCACUGCUAGCAAAUGAAUACCUAGGGAGGGGGGAGUUAGUAUGAGAUCAUGUAGCAGACUUUUAUUUAUAACUCCCCUCUCCCCUUUCAAUUUGUAAACUUAUCUCACAUGCAACACACACACACGCAGACACUUGCAAGUCGACAAAUUCACAGAGCACAGACAAAUAAAAAUGCUUUUACCAUAGUAAAACUAUCUGUUGGUUAUCACUGAGUCAAGACUGAUAGCCCACAGGGCAGGCUAACUGACCUAUGUACUUUAUGUCUAGUGACACCAAACCAGAAGCGUCACCCUUACCUCUCACCCCUGUCCCUGUGUAUCCUAGUGCCACAUUGUAGUGCCGGGCCAGUGCCAAGAGAAGCAAACUGGACACCAGCACCCCUGCCAACAUGUCCCUCAUCGUCCUACAUCUAUUAUUUUUAGCCAGGAUCGGAGCCCAUCUUAACUAAAUAUGGGAAAAGUGUCUGAUCUCCAGGACUAUCUCUGACCAUCCCCCUGCCCAUCAUUUCUAGUCUCUCUUGA